GCCGGUGUGGCGGAAUGGCAGACGCGCUCGACUCAAAAUCGAGUGGGGAGACCCGUGGAGGUUCGAGUCCUCUCACCGGUACCA
rnacentral:tRNA from 1 species